rfam:Lupinus angustifolius cultivar Tanjil contig_1837, whole genome shotgun sequence.
AGGUGGGAUCAUACCAACACUAAUGCACUAGAACCCAUCAGAACUCCGCAGUCAAGCGUGCUUGGGCAAGAGUAGUUCUAGGAUGCGUGACCUCCUAGGAAUUCCUCGUGUUGCACCUA